GGAUCACGGACGGACGUGCGAUCGCCUGGGAUUUGGGGGAGAAUCACGGGUGGAUGGAGUGCUGGGCUGCGUUCGAACGGGCGCUUGAACGAAGGCAUGGAUCCGGGUGAAGAGUUUCGAAGGAUCUCCCUUCAUUAUUUUGUGAAGUGCGGAAGAGGAGCGUUGGGGGCGUUGAUCACGGAAUGGAACUGGGAGGAUG
rnacentral:lncRNA from 1 species